CGAACGAGAAUCUACUGAAAGAGUUUUCGGACAAUGGAAGUAGAGGAAAGUGGCGGACGGGUGAGUAACGCGUGAGGAACCUGCCCUGAAGAGGGGGACAACAGUUGGAAACGACUGCUAAUACCGCAUGAAGCAUAGGGGUCGCAUGAUUCUUAUGCCAAAGAUUUAUCGCUUCAAGAUGGCCUCGCGUCUGAUUAGCUAGUUGGCGGGGUAACGGCCCACCAAGGCGACGAUCAGUAGCCGGACUGAGAGGUUGAACGGCCACAUUGGGACUGAGAUACGGCCCAGACUCCUACGGGAGGCAGCAGUGGGGAAUAUUGGGCAAUGGGCGCAAGCCUGACCCAGCAACGCCGCGUGAAGGAAGAAGGCUUUCGGGUUGUAAACUUCUUUUAAGAGGGAAGAGCAGAAGACGGUACCUCUAGAAUAAGCCACGGCUAACUACGUGCCAGCAGCCGCGGUAAUACGUAGGUGGCAAGCGUUGUCCGGAUUUACUGGGUGUAAAGGGCGUGCAGCCGGGUCUGCAAGUCAGAUGUGAAAUCCAUGGGCUCAACCCAUGAACUGCAUUUGAAACUGUAGAUCUUGAGUGUCGGAGGGGCAAUCGGAAUUCCUAGUGUA
rnacentral:rRNA from 1 species